AAAUUGAAGAGUUUGAUCAUGGCUCAGAUUGAACGCUGGCGGCAGGCCUAACACAUGCAAGUCGAGCGGUAGCACAGAGAGCUUGCUCUCGGGUGACGAGCGGCGGACGGGUGAGUAAUGUCUGGGAAACUGCCUGAUGGAGGGGGAUAACUACUGGAAACGGUAGCUAAUACCGCAUAAUGUCGCAAGACCAAAGUGGGGGACCUUCGGGCCUCAUGCCAUCAGAUGUGCCCAGAUGGGAUUAGCUAGUAGGUGGGGUAAUGGCUCACCUAGGCGACGAUCCCUAGCUGGUCUGAGAGGAUGACCAGCCACACUGGAACUGAGACACGGUCCAGACUCCUACGGGAGGCAGCAGUGGGGAAUAUUGCACAAUGGGCGCAAGCCUGAUGCAGCCAUGCCGCGUGUGUGAAGAAGGCCUUCGGGUUGUAAAGCACUUUCAGCGGGGAGGAAGGCGUUAAGGUUAAUAACCUUGGCGAUUGACGUUACCCGCAGAAGAAGCACCGGCUAACUCCGUGCCAGCAGCCGCGGUAAUACGGAGGGUGCAAGCGUUAAUCGGAAUUACUGGGCGUAAAGCGCACGCAGGCGGUCUGUCAAGUCGGAUGUGAAAUCCCCGGGCUCAACCUGGGAACUGCAUUCGAAACUGGCAGGCUAGAGUCUUGUAGAGGGGGGUAGAAUUCCAGGUGUAGCGGUGAAAUGCGUAGAGAUCUGGAGGAAUACCGGUGGCGAAGGCGGCCCCCUGGACAAAGACUGACGCUCAGGUGCGAAAGCGUGGGGAGCAAACAGGAUUAGAUACCCUGGUAGUCCACGCCGUAAACGAUGUCGAUUUGGAGGUUGUGCCCUUGAGGCGUGGCUUCCGGAGCUAACGCGUUAAAUCGACCGCCUGGGGAGUACGGCCGCAAGGUUAAAACUCAAAUGAAUUGACGGGGGCCCGCACAAGCGGUGGAGCAUGUGGUUUAAUUCGAUGCAACGCGAAGAACCUUACCUGGUCUUGACAUCCACAGAACUUAGCAGAGAUGCUUUGGUGCCUUCGGGAACUGUGAGACAGGUGCUGCAUGGCUGUCGUCAGCUCGUGUUGUGAAAUGUUGGGUUAAGUCCCGCAACGAGCGCAACCCUUAUCCUUUGUUGCCAGCGGUUAGGCCGGGAACUCAAAGGAGACUGCCAGUGAUAAACUGGAGGAAGGUGGGGAUGACGUCAAGUCAUCAUGGCCCUUACGACCGGGCUACACGUGCUACAAUGGCAUAUACAAAGAGAAGCGACCUCGCGAGAGCAAGCGGACCUCAUAAAGUAUGUCGUAGUCCGGAUUGGAGUCUGCAACUCGACUCCAUGAAGUCGGAAUCGCUAGUAAUCGUAGAUCAGAAUGCUACGGUGAAUACGUUCCCGGGCCUUGUACACACCGCCCGUCACACCAUGGGAGUGGGUUGCAAAAGAAGUAGGUAGCUUAACCUUCGGGAGGGCGCUUACCACUUUGUGAUUCAUGACUGGGGUGAAGUCGUAACAAGGUAACCGUAGGGGAACCUGCGGUUGGAUCACCUCCUUACCUUAAAGAA
rnacentral:rRNA from 1 species